CGGUCCUACGGGACGCAGCAGUAAGGGAUAUUGGUCAAUGGGGGAAACCCUGAACCAGCAACGCCGCGUGAGGGAAGACGGUUUUCGGAUUGUAAACCUCUGUCCUCUGUGAAGAUGAUGACGGUAGCAGAGGAGGAAGCUCCGGCUAACUACGUGCCAGCAGCCGCGGUAAUACGUAGGUGGCAAGCGUUGUCCGGAUUUACUGGGUGUAAAGGGCGUGUGGCCGGGCUGACAAGUCGGAUGUGAAAUUCCGGGGCUCAACCCCGGACCUGCAUUUGAAACUGUUGGUCUUGAGUAUCGGAGAG
rnacentral:rRNA from 1 species